AUAUAAAAAUCACCUAAAUCUCAUCCUCAUAAUACAGUUGUGUUGGUUUAUGACCCAGAUUUGAAGGAUCCUGGGAAAGUAGAUUGCUUCUAGCAUUUGCCCACUAAAAAAAUAAUAAUUUUUAAGGUGAUUGACAGACUUUUUUUUUUUUUUUUUGUAUUUUAGUAGAGAUGGAGUUUCACUACGUUGACCAGGAUGAUCUUGAUUUCCUGACCUCAUGAUCCACCCGCCUUGGCCUCCCAAAGUGCUGGGAUUACAGUCAUGAGCCACUGCGCCCAGCCCAGACUGUUUUUUUAAAAAGGCUGGAGUGCAAUAGUGCUAUCAGAGUUCACUGCAGCCUCUACCUCCUGAGCCCAAGUGAUUCUCCCACAUCACUCUCCAAGUAGCUGGGAUCACAGAUUGCACUGCUUCUGAAAUGAGGCUGCCUUAACCACUGCUGUUGGGACCUGAAAAUGCUGGAGGAUAUGCUUUCCUGGUAAUUGCCUUUCUGCUA
rnacentral:lncRNA from 1 species